rnacentral:rRNA from 1 species
UAGGGAAUAUUGCGCAAUGGUCGAAGGACUGACGCAGCGACGCCGCGUGUGGGAGGAAGCCUUUCGGGGUGUAAACCACUGUCAGAUGGGAAGAACAAUGCGCAUCCAAACAGGAUGCGCGCCUGACGGUACCAUCAGAGGAAGCGCCGGCUAACUCCGUGCCAGCAGCCGCGGUAAGACGGAGGGCGCGAGCGUUGUUCGGAAUUACUGGGCGUAAAGCGCGGGCAGGUGGUCCGUUAAGUCUUUUGUGAAACUCCGGGGCUCAACUCCGGACAUGCGUAAGAUACUGACGGACUAGAGACCGGUAGAGGCUAGUGGAAUUCCUGGUGUAGCGGUGGAAUGUGUAGAUAUCAGGAAGAACACCGGUGGCGAAGGCGGCUAGCUGGGCCGUGUCUGACACUCAUCCGCGAAAGCGUGGGGAGCAAACAGG